rnacentral:rRNA from 1 species
AGAUUGAACGCUGGCGGCAUGCCUUACACAUGCAAGUCGAACGGUAGAGUAGCAAUACUCGAGAGUGGCGAACGGGUGAGUAAUAUAUCGGAACGUGCCCAGUCGUGGGGGGAUAACGUAGAGAAAUUUACGCUAAUACCGCAUACGAUCUACGGAUGAAAGCGGGGGGUCGCAAGACCUCGCGCGAUUGGAGCGGCUGAUAUCAGAUUAGGUGUUGGUGAGGUAAAAGCUCACCAAGCCGACGAUCUGUAGCUGGUUUGAGAGAACGACCAGCCACACUGGGACUGAGACACGGCCCAGACUCCUACGGGAGGCAGCAGUGGGAAUUUUGGACAUGGGCGAAAGCCUGAUCCAGCAAUGCCGCGUGCAGGAAGAAGGCCUUCGGUGUAAACUGUCUUUAGUACGGUAACGUAAAAAGGUUCUUUACUAAAUAAAGAAGGACUUAUAGACGGUAACGUAAGUAA